CCUACGGGGUGCAGCAGUGGGGAAUAUUGGACAAUGGGCGAAAGCCUGAUCCAGCCAUGCCGCGUGUGUGAAGAAGGCCUUCGGGUUGUAACGCACUUUCAGUGGGGAAGAAAGCCUUGGGGCUAAUACCCUCGAGGAAGGACAUCACCCACAGAAGAAGCACCGGCUAACUCCGUGCCAGCAGCCGCGGUAAUACGGAGGGUGCGAGCGUUAAUCGGAAUUACUGGGCGUAAAGCGCGCGUAGGCGGUCUGAUAAGCCGGUUGUGAAAGCCCCGGGCUCAACCUGGGAACGGCAUCCGGAACUGUCAGGCUAGAGUGCAGGAGAGGAAGGUAGAAUUCCCGGUGUAGCGGUGAAAUGCGUAGAGAUCGGGAGGAAUACCAGUGGCGAAGGCGGCCUUCUGGACUGACACUGACGCUGAGGUGCGAAAGCGUGGGUAGCAAACAGGAUUAGAUACCCGAGUAGUC
rnacentral:rRNA from 1 species